GAGCCAUUAGCUCAGUCGGUAGAGCAUCUGACUUUUAAUCAGAGGGUCGAAGGUUCGAGUCCUUCAUGGCUCA
rfam:Bacillus sp. SJS contig_14, whole genome shotgun sequence.